AAGGCUUGACAUAUACCGAAAAGCAGCAGAGAUGUUGUGUCCGCAAGGGCGGUAUACAGGUGGUGCAUGGUUGUCGUCAGCUCGUGUCGUGAGAUGUUGGGUUAAGUCCCGCAACGAGCGCAACCCUCGUUCUGUGUUGCCAGCAUUUAGUUGGGGACUCACAGGAGACUGCCGUGGUUAACACGGAGGAAGGUGGGGAUGACGUCAAAUCAUCAUGCCCCUUAUGUCUUGGGCUGCACGCAUGCUACAAUGGCAGAUACAAAGGGCUGCAAUACCGUAAGGUGGAGCGAAUCCCAAAAAGUCUGUCUCAGUUCGGAUUGAGGUCUGCAACUCGACCUCAUGAAGUCGGAGUUGCUAGUAAUCGUAGAUCAGCAACGUAC
rnacentral:rRNA from 1 species